CUUCAAUUCUGACAUCUGCCAAAGCUGUUUCUUUUUGGGGCGCACAUCAAAGGGACACAAGUUACAUUGCCCCAUGGUGGAGUACUGCACUCCGAACCUACCCCGGAAGAGAGAGCCCAGAGAAUUGCCAAAGCUGUCCGCAAACAGUCAAUAGAAGUGAAGGAAACUUGGGAGCAAUUGAAAAUCCAUGCGAGCAACUGGCAGGAACAGGUGGAAAAGGUGUUGGAGAAACUUCAAGAACUGCAGAAAGCUCUGGAUGAUCAUGAGGCUCAUGUGAUAACAGCUGAAGGGGUCCGCACUGAUUGGCAACCUGUGGGUGAACUGCUUAUUGACUCAUUGCAGGAUCACAUUGAUAAAACCACAGGGUUGGAGUCGAAGAAUCAGAGUGCUUUCUUUGAAAAUUGUCUUGAUGUGUCCAUCCAAGCGUCAACUGGAGGAAAAAUACAAGUGUCAGUACUAAAUCUAUCAUUGCUGAUACACAUGUAAACUGUAGGUUUAACUGGAGGUAAACUUUGUUUAACAAAC